rnacentral:rRNA from 1 species
UACAGAGGUCCCAAGCGUUGUUCGGAUUCAUUGGGCGUAAAGGGUGCGUAGGCGGCCAUGUAAGUCAGGAGUGAAAGUUUGCGGCUCAACCGUAAAAUUGCUUUUGAUACUGCAUGGCUGGAAUCAGGAUGAGGUCAGCGGAAUGUGGCAUGUAGCGGUGAAAUGCAUAGAUAUGCCAUAGAACACCAAUUGCGAAGGCAGCUGGCUAGACCUGUAUUGACGCUGAGGCACGAAAGCGUGGGGAGCGAACAGG